CCUACGGGUGGCAGCAGUCGAGAAUCAUUCACAAUGGGGGAAACCCUGAUGGUGCGACGCCGCGUGGGGGAAUGAAGGUCUUCGGAUUGUAAACCCCUGUCAUGUGGGAGCAAAUUAAAAAGAUAGUACCACAUGAGGAAGAGCCGGCUAACUCUGUGCCAGCAGCCGCGGUAAUACAGCGGUCUCAAGCGUUGUUCGGAAUCACUGGGCGUAAAGCGUGCGUAGGCUGUUUCGUAAGUCGUGUGUGAAAGGCUCGGGAUCAACCCGCGAACGGCACAUGAUACUGCGAGACUAGAGUAAUGGAGGGGGAACCGGAAUUCUCGGUGUAGCAGUGAAAUGCGUAGAUAUCGAGAGGAACACUCGGGGCGAAGGCGGGUUCCUGGACAUUAACUGACGCUGAGGCACGAAGGCCAGGGGAGCGAAAGGGAUUAGAUACCCGAGUAGUC
rnacentral:rRNA from 1 species